rnacentral:rRNA from 1 species
GAUGAACGCUGGCGGCGUGCCUAAUACAUGCAAGUCGAGCGAACAGACGAGGAUCUUGCUCCUCUCACGUUAGCGGCGGACGGGUGAGUAACACGUGGAUAACCUCCCUAUAAUUCGGGGAUAACUUCGGGAAACCGGAUCUAAUACCGUAUAAUAUAUUGAACCGCAUGGUUCAAUAGUGAAAUACGGUUUUUCUGUCACUUAUAGAUGCAUCCGGGCCGCAUUAGCUAGUUGGUCAGGUAACGGCUUACCAAGGCAACGAUGCGUAACCGAGGUGACAGGGUGAUAGGCCACAUGGGAAGUGAAACACGGUCAAGACUCCUACGGGAGGCAGCAGUCGGGAAUCGUCCGCAGUGGGCGAAAACCUGACGGAGCAAGGCCGAGUGAGUGAUGAAGGUCUUGGGAUCGUAAAAAUCUGUUAUUAGGGAAGAACAAAUGUGUAAGUAAAUAUGCACGUAUUGACGGUAAUUAAUAAGAAAGCACCGGCUAACUACGUG